GACGAACGCUGGCGGCGUGCUUAACACAUGCAAGUCGAGCGGAAAGGCGCUGCGCUUGUGGGGUUCUCGAGUGGCGAACGGGGGAGUAAAACGUGAGUAACCUGCCCUUGUCUUUGGGAUAACUUCAGGAGACUGGGGCUAAUACCGGGUAGGAGCUCCUGCUCCAUGGGGGGGGUUGGAGAAAGUGGGCGGUGGGGGCUGGACUCGAGGCUUAUCAGCUUGUUUGUGGGGUAGUGGAUUCCCAAGGUUUUGACGGGUAGCCGGCAUGGGAGGGUGACCGGCCACAUUGGGACUGCGAGACGGCCCAGACUCGUACGGGAGGCAGCGGGGGGGAAUAUUGCGCAACGGGGGGGAGCCUGAUGCGGAGACGCCGCGUGCGGGAUGCCGGCUUUCGGGUUGUGAACCGCUUUCGCAUGUGACGAAGCGUGAGUGACGGUAAUGGGUAAAGAAGCACCGGCUAACUACGUG
rnacentral:rRNA from 1 species